UCAGAACGAACGCUGGCGGCAGGCUUAACACAUGCAAGUCGAGCGCGUAGCAAUACGAGCGGCAGACGGGUGAGUAACGCGUGGGAAUCUACCCCUUACUACGGAAUAACGCAGGGAAACUUGUGCUAAUACCGUAUGUGGCCGAGAGGCGAAAGAUUUAUCGGUAAGGGAUGAGCCCGCGUUGGAUUAGCUAGUUGGUGGGGUAAAGGCCUACCAAGGCGACGAUCCAUAGCUGGUCUGAGAGGAUGAUCAGCCACACUGGGACUGAGACACGGCCCAGACUCCUACGGGAGGCAGCAGUGGGGAAUAUUGGACAAUGGGCGCAAGCCUGAUCCAGCCAUGCCGCGUGAGUGAUGAAGGCCCUAGGGUUGUAAAGCUCUUUCACCGGUGAAGAUAAUGACGGUAACCGAGA
rnacentral:rRNA from 1 species